GCGGCGGCUGCGGCGGCGUCACCGGGCUCGGCGAGCGGCCGGCCUCGGAGGCCUGCGGGCCGGCGGCCUGGAUGUGCACUCGGCCUCGGAGGCCCCUCGGUGUCGCCGACUCUGUCUCCACCCCGGGACCUCCGAGGCCGGCGCGGACAUCAACCCUCCCAUCCCUGCACCCACGCCCACCCCCACCCCAGGGAAAGGCAAGGGUCCGAGUGUGGUUUGGUUGUCAUGCGCCUGCCUAUGUCACUUGAGUUGACGGUCACCUCUGAUCCCAAGCAGGCCAAGUGCCCCAGCACAUCUUUCUACUCCGGACUCCUUUUUAAGCGUGCCCUGCCCAGACCUUCAACGGAGGGACGAAAGGCCGGGGAAGGAAAACCUACCCACAGAGAUGCCCGUGGACUACCGGCAGCCGGCUGCCUUCAGCGAUGCACCUCUCUCUCAUAGGCUCCAUUUUAGCCUGGAAGUUUACCGGGUCGGGGGUGCCGCCUUGUCUGUUUUAACUCCGACCAGUGAUAUAGUCACAGCAGGACAGACUGAAUGAAGCCAGGUUGAGAAUCGAGUAUCUAGCAAGAGUGUGGUGACUCGCCUUUAAUCCCAAGAUCGGAAAAACUGUAAUAUAAAGUUGAAGCUAACCUAGGCUGUAUGCUACAUCAAAGACCUCAGAAGGAUAUAAUAUUACCUGAGAAACGGGAGAAGGACACAAGCAACUUUCAGGAGUCUUGCAGGAGUAGACAGAGACAGCUGGCAGCCUGGAAGUCAUCCAGAGUUCCUCUGUAAAGUUGAGGCAUCAGUCUUCAGCCCACAGGCCUUGAGUCUCUCAGUCACUUUUCUCUGUGUCCUGUAGAAUGUCUGGCAGUUUCCUCUGCAAAGCAGGAACCUGAAGGAUCAUUUUGCCAAGCAAAGUUCAGUGGUCACCAUCCUGUGGGUUUUGCAUGUCCAGUCGAUCAAGCAGUCCAGGCAAGAACAGUUACUUGCCCAAAUGACUAUUUUUGCCAAGAAGAAGAUAAACUCCAUAUAAAGUGUCUUCAAUGCCCAUCCUCCUCUCUGAAGUAAAUCAGUGCUGCCAGGAGCAGACAUGUCUCAUUGUCCAGAAAGUCUAAAUUUUUAAAAAUAUUUCAAAUGCCAUAGUCUGUAGGUCUUUGAAGUGUUUGAAGAUUACCUAUCUAUCUGAAAUAUAUCUAUGUAUACCUAGAAAACUUAACUAACAUGCUACAAGUUUGACUAUCAUAGAAGACUGAUUAUUAAUCUGUAUUUCUUAAUUAUCCAUUAUAAUCUAAAUGAGUUACAUAAACAUAAUACCUCAAAUGAGAGUAGAAUAUAUAUACAGUAUAACAAAAUUAAGUUUAAACUUGUAUCAAUAAACUAAAUGUAAAACAUUUUAAACAAGUUGCUCUUUAAAAGUAGGUUCAAGAGGAGAUUUGCCAGCAAGACUCAGAGGAAGCUGUACCUGUGGUGUGGAGGAGAGUCACAAACGCUCCAGCCUCCAGCCACUGUGUCUAAAUCUGUCCUUAAAGCAGCCAUCUCCUGGUGAAAUUCAGUCCUAGAGAAAGACAUCCUCCAGUGGUAACAUUGUCUCUACCAGGAUAAGACAUGGAAUUACAUCUACAGGAGUUUAUAAAAGAAAGUGGAGGAGUGAAGAUUUACUAGUGAAAACAACUUGCUCAGCUGAGAUCCAUUCAGGAGAGGAUUCAGAAUUCUACAGUCUGCAGUUUGAGGAAACAUGGCCUUCCUCCUGUGUUCUCCUCCAACUGAGGAAACAGAUCAGCUGAGGAGUUGAAAAAUGAGCAAAACGUGACCUGAGAACACAAAAGAAGGCACUGCCCAGCCACUGAACCAGAUCACCAGAAUCAUAAGCCUACACUACACCGACUGGGAACAGCCACCAGAGCCUGUCCUCAAACCUGAGUCCUCCCGACCGACAACAUUCCUCACCUCAUGACAUCCCUGCUCCAUCUCCUGUUCAGAGUUUCAGUUCUCAAGUUUCAGCCUGUCCUUUUCAUUCCUACGCUCCAAGAAUUCUGUGUUGCUGAUUCCCGCAGGACGGAACCAAGAGGAGAUCAUGCAGCAAUUGAGGUGCACCACAAAGCUACUGGCACUUGCAUAGCAUCACCCUGUUUCUGAGAGGGACAGUGGGAGCUCUGUGUGGGCACAGCAAGUGUAACCUCGGGAUGCUGCUGCCCAGUUCAGGGCAGAUGCAAGGGCCCACAGUGGGGAGAGGAGCUGAGAGCUUCACCUUCCCACUCUCCCCCUCCAAAAAAGGAUUCUCAGAGUCAAAACACAGAAGUCAUCACCUGUGAUGUUGCUUUUGUCGGGGUGUUUUGUGAUAAAUGGGAAGACACUAAGGAAUCACGGUGCGCUGUGUCUGAAUCCCAAAGCCGUGUGGAGCAUCAUUUGACCCUCCUCACGGAUGGUGCUGUUUGGAGAGGUUGUGAAACCUUCAGGAAGUGGAGCCUGGCUGGAGGGAGCGGUUCAUCGUGGCAGGCCUUGAGGCUGUGUGGAUUGGCCCCACUCCCCACUCUCUCUUCGUCUUCACUUCAGAUACCACGUGACUAGUCAGCCUCCUGCUCCCUACGUCAUGGCUUUCCUACUAUGGCGGACUGAAUCCCCUUGGAACCAUGAGUCAAAAGAAGUCUUUUCUCCCUUCCCUUGCUCUGUCAUCAUAUUUUAUUACAGCAACAGAAAAAGAAACAGUAUCUAUAUUCAAAGGUUAAGACUGAGGCCUCUGACCCCAUCGAUGUAAUGUAUAGAUGGGUCUGAAACUGAAUGGACUAUUGGGAGGUGAUGGUUCCUGAGGAGAUGGAGUUGAAGGGAGCAGGACACAGGCAUUCCCUUUCAGGGUGUAGUCUAUGCAUUCUCUAUCUAUCUAUCUAUCUAUCUAUCUACCUAUCUGUCUGUCUGUCUGUCUGUCUGUCUCCUUCUUGCCACCCUGAGUUAGCAGCUUUGCUGUCACUCCACCACACAUGUCCCACCAUUACAUCUUGCCUUCUUUGCCACAGGGGGAGUAACAGAGCCAAGAGACCAUGGGCUGGCUUGAAGCCAUAAGCCAAAUUUCCUCUUUUAAUCGUUUUCUGGUCCUUGUCUCUGUGGUGAAAAGCUGGGUAACACACCAUUUAUUCCACCAAUAACACAUAAUAUGUUUACACAUUUCCAAAGUCUUUGCAAAAACUAAGCAUUUUCAUUGGGGCAGGGAACUUGUCGUGCUGAAUGGACAAGGAAAGUUUAUUUUACUACUUAGUUUUUUGUUUGUUUGCUUGUUGUUGUUUUGUGGUUUUUCAAGACAGGGUUUCUUUGUGUAGCCCUGGCUGUUCUGGAAUUCACUCUGUAGACCAGGCUGGCCUCGAACUCAGAGAUCUGCCUACCUUUGCCUCUCCAGUGCUGGGAUUAAAGGCGUGCGCCACCACCACCCAGCUACUUUGGAUUUUAUUAGCCAUU